AUUGAACGCUGGCGGCAGGCCUAACACAUGCAAGCCGAGCGGAUGAAUGGAGCUUGCUCCUGGAUUCAUCGGCGGACGGGUGAGUCAUGCCUAGGAAUCUGCCUGGUCGUGGGGGAUAACGUCCUGAUACGGGCGCUAAUACCCCAUCCGUCCUGUUGGCGCAAGUGGGGGAUCUUCGGUCCUCUCGCUUUCAUAUUAGCCUAGGUCGGAUUAGCUAGUUGGUGGGGUAAAUGCCUACCAAGGCGACGAUCCGUAACUGGUCUGAGAGGAUGAUCAGUCACACUGGAACUGAGACACGGUCCAGACGCCUACGGGAGGCAGCAGUGGGGAAUAUUGGACAAUGGGCGAAAGCCUGAUCAAGCCAUGCCGCGUGUGUGAAGAAGGUCUUCGGAGUGUAAAGCACUUUAAGUUGGGAGGAAGGGCAGUAAGUUAAUACCUUGCUGUUUUGACGUUACCAACAGAAUAAGCACCGGCUAACUUCGUG
rnacentral:rRNA from 1 species